GACUGCGCCAGCCCAGACAAGUCCAAGAGGAGGAUUCCAGGCAGUUAAGAUGGUUUCCGGAGAAGCCUGGAAUUUCCCCUGCACUCCCAAUGACAGAGGCCCUCUGCUACUCAUCAUCUAGGUAGCUGACAGGUGGCUGCCUGCGGUACCUGAUGUUUGGACAGACAAACAAAUGACCAGGAGACAGUUAAACCUACCUUCCAGUUUGCGUGAGGACUUGUGUCUAACACGGGCUCUGAUCUGUACCCACAGGUAGGGCUUUCCCUCCUGACAAAAUCUUAUUUUGAUAAAUCAGGACUUUAAAAAUGACCAAGUGGUUAAGCAAGUGCAUUCCGUCUGUGCAGAUGCAUCAAGCUGUUCGCUUACCUACACAAUUCUGUAUGUAGAGCAGACGAUGAUCCAAUGCCAAAACAUCAAAUAUAUAUUCUUAGGCAUCAAAAGUAUUAUCAAUAAAAGUUAAGGUGCUAAAAAAGAAUGGCUGAGCAAAAUCUAGAAUUUGAGUCCUAGAGAAAGUUCCUGAGACAGGUCUCUUUCAAUCCUGAGUUUCCUGACAGCAGGGGCUGGGAGCAUAUCAAAACAGUCCUUGCUAGAAUUUUCCUCCUAAAGCUAAGUGUUUAACCGGUGCAUUUUAGCAACAGCAGAGCUGGAAAAAUAUAUCUGGGUAGAAGUAGCAGACAGACAGCGGUCAGCGAGC
rnacentral:lncRNA from 10 species